rnacentral:rRNA from 1 species
GACGAACGCUGGCGGCGUGCCUAAUACAUGCAAGUAGAACGCUGAAGGAGGAGCUUGCUCUUCUGGAUGAGUUGCGAACGGGUGAGUAACGCGUAGGUAACCUGCCUGGUAGCGGGGGAUAACUCUUGGAAACGAUAGCUAAUACCGCAUAAGAGUAGAUGUUGCAUGACAUUUACUUAAAAGGUGCAAUUGCAUCACUGCCAGAUGGACCUGCGUUGUAUUAGCUAGUUGGUGGGGUAACGGCUUACCAAGGCGACGAUACAUAGCCGACCUGAGAGGGUGAUCGGCCACACUGGGACUGAGACACGGCCCAGACUCCUACGGGAGGCAGCAGUAGGGAAUCUUCGGCAAUGGACGGAAGUCUGACCGAGCAACGCCGCGUGAGUGAAGAAGGUUUUCGGAUCGUAAAGCUCGGUUGUAAGAGAAGAACGAGUGUGAGAGUGGAAAGUUCACACUGUGACGGUAUCUUACCAGAAAGGGACGGCUAACUACGUG